rnacentral:rRNA from 1 species
CUACGGAGGAUGCAAGCGUUAUCCGGAUUUAUUGGGUUUAAAGGGUGCGUAGGCGGUUUGCUAAGCGGGAGGUGAAAUGCCGGCGCUCAACGUCGGAAGUGCCUCCCGAACUGGUGGACUUGAAUGACUCUGCCGUGGGAGGGAUGUGUAGUGUAGCGGUGAAAUGCUUAGAGAUUACACAGAACACCGAUUGCGAAGGCAUCUCACGAAGGGUUGAUUGACGCUGAGGCACGAAAGCGUGGGGAUCAAACAGGAUUAGAUACCCUGGUAGUCCACGCAGUAAACGAUGAUGGCUAACCGCUGGAUCCAUCGGUUCAGUGGCCAAGCGAAAGCGAUAAGCCAUCCACCUGGGGAGUACGACCGCAAGGUUGAAACUCAAAUGAAUUGACGGGG